rnacentral:lncRNA from 1 species
UGUUAUUGUAUUUGUAAAAUGGUGCAUCUUUGUUUGAAAAUUGCUUAAGUUUUUGAAAUGUCUACCCAUCCAGCAUGAUUAAUGCGAUACAUACAGUGGAGCAGCAGAGUGAGUGGAGAAUUAGAGUCGGUGCCAGUUCACCUAGAGGCAUUUAUCUUUUCUUUUUCCCUGGUGCCUGCGCUGAGCCUGAGGAUCAGAAUGGAAAAGAGAACUACUGGGCUCCCUGCCUGGCUGCGAGUGCUGCUGAGCACACAGCCGCUACAAUAAUCUGUCAGUGCUGCUGCUGAUGCCUGCUGACACUACC